GCGCCCCGCCCGUGGGAGAGGAGGGGCUGCGGCGCCGCGGACCACUGGAGGCGCAGCGCCGCCGCCGCCGCCGCCGCCGCCGCCGCCGCUGUGGGUGCCGGAGACCGCGGCUCCACGCAGGCGGCGCCCGCGCCUCGGCUCCCCGGCCGGCCCGCGCGCCCGUCCGCCGGGGCCGUCUCCCGCCUCCCGUCGCUGCCACCACACCAUCGGCUGCACCGUUGCUCGUCUUCCCGGAAUACAAAGCCCGAAUCCAUGUUCACCUUGAAUCUUCACAAUAUUUUGGAGCAGAUGUUUUUAUCCUCGUAUUAUAGAAUAGAAAAUUGAAGUGCAGAUGUUGAACAGUUUACCCAAAACCGAAAAUAGGCUUCCCUGCUCUUCACACGCCCUGGAUUGUAGCAGCAGCAGGAGCUGAGUUGGAAGUCGGUGUUUAUUUCUCCACUCACAGUGUGUGUUGUUAAAGAUCAACAAAGAAUAUCGUCCGAUUCAUGACCCUGAUGUCAGUUGUUUUAUGGUUAGAAAAGAACAGCAUGGUUCUAUUUCAUGAAAGAAGGCUCAGGAAGUACUGCUGUCUGUCCCUGCAACAGUGUCUGGUUCCUUUUCCUGCAAGGAGGAGAAUGGAGAUGUUUGUGUCUUCAGUCCCAGUGUUUCUCCUGAGCUUUGGUUUGGGGAUUUGAAGACAAAGAGUGUCAGAUGAUGAACAAAGAAGCACAGAAGCUUACAGAGAAGCCAGUAAAUC
ensembl:lncRNA